UCGACUCGAGCGAAGCGAGAGAACGUUGCCGCAGGCAACGGCCCGAAGGGCGAGGCGCUUUAGCGCCGAGUAAUCCUUCCCCCACCACCA
rnacentral:sRNA from 1 species